UUUUCAGACCUCAUGCAGGCAGUUACAGAUCUCCUGGAGCACAACUGGUUUCAAGCUUGUUUGUGUAGCUGAAGAUGACCUUGAACUACGGCUUGUCCUGAACUUACUUUCCAUGUACUGGGAUGCCACCGCCUGUAUCGACAGCAGAGCCACACAUCUCGGUGCUGCAGUUAGAAAAUGCGAGAAUUGGAACCUGCGAUGCUAAAGUGCUGAGAUCACCGUCAUAUAUUAUUAAUGAAAAUAAAUAAGAAAUAAAA